GAAUUGGUUCAACCGAUUCAUCGAAAUGAACCAAAAAAGACGAUUCGUUAACCAAUCAUACGUCGCCAAUGGAGUCGCGUGAGGCAGGUGACUCGGUGUAUUGCUCGCUGAAGACAAGCCAAGGGCGCGCAAAAACGGAAUUAAUUUGACAACGAAGUCAUGGCGCAUUUUAAACCUGCAGUAAUUCCAAAAGGAUCAACCCUUUGAGGGAUUUGUAAUGGACAAAUAUCACCUUGAGCGAGCCAUCACUGCCAAAGUGGUCUAGCCGAACAAUCCGACUCUCAAACAUAUGAAAACCUGGGAUGUGGAUUCUGCACUGCACUGUUAGGGUGAUAUGAUGCCUGUCAAGUUGAUGGAGGUCCCAUCCUCCGGCCUCCUCCAGGUCUGCAGGCAGAAGCCUUACUCCGACCAAGCCCCCCUCCGCCCCGGCGUACAGUGCAGCCCAUUAAAAUUAAAGCAGCUCCUUACUGUUGAAACGUCAUGUCCAUCCCAUUCCCCAACAUGCAUUGGGAACAAAGGGAACAAUCUAUUUUCCUGAUAGAAGCCAGCAGUUGGUAAGAGGUUUGAGAUGAGUGCGAGGAUACAAUUUGCCUAGAGAGUGCCCGAGGAUCAACCCAGCCCCGACUCACUCUGGAAUGAGGCUGUCAGCUGGCAACCAGCAGUAAUUGCUUCCCAUGGCAGGACCCCACCAGCCAGAGAAGAAUGUGUGCAUGAAGCUCGUCAACCCGGGGAUCAAUUUUCACAACAGCCCAAUCAUAAUUGUUUUCUAAGGAUAAGGAACUUGUUGCGAAUGCGAGCAGAGGGCGAGGCCUGAUUGACACUCAUUGACCGGCGCGAGCGGGUUUGGAGGAUUAGGGCCGAUCGAGGUUGCAGCUCGGAGCCACGGCACACUGUUUGUCACUCAGGUUGAGGGGAGUGCAGAGAGAAGAAUAAGAAAUCCUGAUCCCGAAGAAGCUUCGGUCUGCACUGGAACUGUCAGUCCACUUUAAAGCGAAACAGUGCUGUUAGCGCACAGUCAAGUGCACGAUUUCUCAAUUGUGCAAUUACAAAAAAUUGGAUUGUUUUAAAAUGGAACGUUUUGACAUUUCAAAAGUCAGCAUGAAAAUGGAAGGUGCGAUGGUCUUUUCUUCAACAGUGUGACAUAUGUCCAAGUGAAACGGCUUCUCGAAUAAGAAAAAAAUCUAGGCCAGGAUUUGAUACUGUUAUCAGGAAUUGAUUGGAUCAUUGAAUCAUUGAAUCAAUGUCAUUUGUGUGGAAGCUUGUUUCCACCACUAAAUAAAAAAGAUAACUGCGACUUUUUAUCUCGCAAUUUUGACUUUUUUUUUUUCUCACAAUGCGAGUUAUGAUGUCACAGUUGUGAGAUAUAAACUUACAAUGCUAGAAUUAAAAUCAGAAUUGUAAGAUAUAAACUUUCAAUCUGACUUUUACAUGCAGUUGCGUGUUAUAAAGUCAGAAUUGUGAAAUAAAAAGUCACAAUUUACCUUUUUUAUUUUUUAUUCAGUGGCGGAAACAAGCUUCCAUACAUUUGCUAUUGCUGCGAUCUCAUGUGAGUAACAGGUUGUCCCGCCCUCACGCCGGUGACCACAUCAUCAGAGAAGAGAUGUUGUUGCAAGGGGCAGGGGAAGUUACUUUGAUUAAAGCUUAUGAGGGCACAUGGAUUUAAAAAAAUAAUGAUCUACAUGUACAAAUCAUAUAUAAUAAACACUGCAGUAUUCCAUAAAAACAAGAAUUGUCCAUUUUUAAUUUUAUCCUAACUUUGAAGAGGUGCCUUGAUAAUGUGUGAUCUAGAAGUCCUUGAAUGUCCUGCAUAGGAAAUGUUCAGUCCACUAACAAUCCAUCAUCCGUCUACAGAUAAUUUCGUAUGCUGUCAAGCACCGAAUUGAAUUGUAGGACACUUGGAUGGCUGCUGCCACUGCCACUGGGUCCCAAGACCAUCUCAAAUGUCACUUCAGCCGACUGCUAACAUGUGGCCCCUUGGCCAGUGACUCUGACAUGCUAUUAUCUGUCUGGAGAAGAGACGACAUGGUGUUGUCAGAAACCCGUGUCUCUACACAUGUAUCCAUCACAGAGUGGCAGAUGGCUUGGAUCAAAUUAUUUUUUGUGUAAAAGGCCGUGUGAAGUUUCAAAACGUGACUGCCGCAGAUGCCUCUCACAGGAGGCAUAAUAGAGCAUCUUGUGUGGCGGCCGCAGAUGCUUCUUGCAAAAGGCAUAAUAGAGGAGCACCUUGGGAGAAUCCAGCAGCCAUACGGAAGAGGCUGCGGUUUUCUUCUGGCUGAACCCAACAAAUUUACAAAAGAAUGCAUUAAGGUACCAUGAGGCCCCUAAGCGAUGUGGGCUUGAACAUAAGCAAAUCUAUUGUAUUUGUUCUGAUCGUCAACACUAAUGCACAAGUACAGACUCUAAAACUAAUUCACCUUCACUGUCUUUAAAUAUAUGACAAAAUAUAGUGCAUAUAUACGCAUAUAUGUAUCUAUUUCUGACAUAAAUAUGUCAAUGAUUAUGCAUCAUUACAGGCUAACAAGCAAGUCCCACUGGGAUGUUCCUUCCGCUCUUCUAUUGCUGCCUUCAUUAGCAUCAUUGUGAGGGAAUGGCACAUCCCAGUAGCAUAGUGCUUCCUGUGUUGUUUUAGUGCCCUGUUCACUAAGGCCCUGUUUACAGCUGGUAUUAAAUUCUGUUGAUCCCAUCAAAAGUGGAUGGUCAUCUCAAAUGCAUCUCCUGUGACCACUUGUGCUCGGAUUUCAUUGAUGCAUCAGAAAUACACACUUGUAUUUCAUCCUCUCUGAUCCAACCACCUGGAUUCAUUCUGAUAAGUAACGCCCACUUUUCACAAUCCAUUCAAUUCCCCAUGGAUAAAAUCAAAACCUGUCCUAUAUUUCUUCUCGUUGAAAGAUCCUGUGUUGUACAUCAGAUUAUGAAGUAAAAUGGUUUGUGAACGGCGUUUCAUGUCAACUUUAAAGCAUAAAUAUGCACGUACCUCCAUGCUGUUUACUAUGGGCUACAGCAGGUGUCCCCAAAUCCCACCCAGAGUCUGGUACUUGCACACACAAACUCUUGUGCUGACUGUCACCCUGUCACUGAUGUUGUGUCAGGCCCAGAGGUGGACCUGCAAAUGACUCCUCAGGCUCAUCAGUGUGCUGCUCCAAAAUAGUUGGCACUGCAGGAAACCUCUGGAGCUCCUUGAUGUGGUAUACAGCUUACCUACAGGCAGGGCUUUGUCUAUGCCAGCCUCUUCCCUGUGAGCGGAUGAGUGCUGCAUGACUACCGUAACACACAGCCAGCCCUCGUACAGCAGCAGGAGACGGAGCUCACAGCGGGGAAUUAAUUAGCCUGUCUUUUACAGAAGAUAGGUGUCUUGGAUGUAGGGACAGCAUGCUGAGAGGUGAUUUUUUUAUUAUUAUUUUAUUUAUUCUUUUUUUUUUUUCUUACAUGAGUAGCUGUGCUGUGAAUUCUCCUCAGAAAUAUAUGAUAAUAAUCAUGCAAAUCUGACAAAUUACUUCAUGCUGAUGAGGUCAAAUGUCUCAUAUCAACAAAUUAAUGCAUACUGAACUCUGGUAAGCUGUUGUUCAUUCUACACUUGUCUGAAUCAGCAGUAAGACAGCUGACAAAAUAUCAAUGCUGGCAUUAGCAGUUUUCAAUAAAGAUUUCUUCUAGAAUUUUAUUCUUUCACUUAUCUAAAUGCAUCUUAUUGUGAAUGAUUUAUCCUUGCAUAUUUUUCUUUCUUUCUUUUUUUUUUUUUUUUUGAUCAAAAUUUCAUAACUUGACCCUCCAGAGAAAUGACAGACUUCUCUCUAUCUAUGUAUGCCAGACUUCUCCAAACAUUUAGUCUGCUUAAAUUGCAACUUUAAUAUUAACAGUGUACAUCUUGCCACCAUUUUCAUAACACAAACUUGUAUCUCUUCAAAGUUAUCUGAAUAAUUAUUUACAAAUUUAUCCUGAUAAUCUAUAUUUCUGCACACAUUUCCAAGCUUCAAGUGGCAUUGUAUUAUAUUAUAUAUUAAACUCUGAACUGCCUACUUCAUAUAGUGCCUAACCAGGGGUCAUCGCUCAGUGUUGAGAGCAAAGCAGCUAAGUAAUUGCCUGUAACUCAGGUGUUAGGGGAAUAUGCUGGUCAAAGAUUCCCCAAAUCCCUGGCCUCCCCUGCUCAACCACGGACACAAAUGAAAGGCAAGUGGACCACGCAGGACCCGAGGACGAUGCAGUGUCACUGUUGAACACAGGCACCCCUGUAAACACAACACCUGCAACACAUGUAUCAAGUCGACUGAUCAUUUAGUUUUCACCGCGAUCAAAAUUAGCAUCGGGCUGGGUGCACCUCUCGCCGAUACCUUUGCAGAAUCUCAAGUAUCUUAUGCAAACUGUGUGCGUUUGUUGGGGAGCUCUGGCAGCGACUGAUGAGUGUCUCAUUAUCUCCACACCAGCCGUACACAGUAAGAAGAGCAUAAUCAAAGCCUGGGGGAUAUUUCAAUUUGAUGCUCAACAAGCUGAGCCUGAGAUUAAAGGAUCAUACGUGUCAUCCACACAAACAUCACUUCCAGAGCAGGCAAGCGUACGUGAGUUCAGCUUUUCCAAGAGAGAGGCGUCACCGCCGCAGACGACGCAGUCGCACUUCUGUCUCCCUGCAAUAUAAUACCAUAAGCUAACAACAAGAUACUCUGGGCAAAAACCCAAUUUAACACAAAUAUUUGACUUAAUCAAUGCACCAGCCCAAUGACAGCUUGCUUCAUCCUUCGAAACCUUCGGUUUGUGUAAUUUGUCAGUCUGGUGUCGUCUUCCAUAACCUCAGAGGAGAGUCUUCGCAAGUGCCAGAGGAACAGGCUUAAUCGUGACAGGCUCGACUUGCAGAGAGGGAUGGAACGCCGGCCUGGAGAUGUCAAGGUAGAGAGUGAAGGGGGAAAGAGAGAGUCGAUUCAAAAGAUGAGGAUAAAUCUUUGAGCAGCACUCGAUUACGUCUGGGCUAUGGAGCAGUUCUCCCCCUCUGGGAAGGGCUGCGUGUCUGCAGAGAAACCGAGCUAAGACGAGACCUGUCAGGAACAAAGAGCGAAAUUCCAAUGAUAUGUUUAGCUAAAAGGGUGAGAGAAAAGUGAAUCAAAGCAGUGCAGGAUCAAAGAAACGCUUCAGUAAAGUCAACUUGGCCGCCAAGAGACCAGCAGGGGAUGCAUAUGAUUUAUAAGUUGUUCUUCAGAACCUUCUGAUGUUGAAGAAUUGAUUGUUAUUGUUGCUAGAGAGAAGAAGAGAGAGACGUGGGACUGAGGUGGAGGGUCACCUAUUUGCGCUUCAAAAGUGGAGCUUUGUGAUGUGUGACAGUCGUCAAACACUGGAACGACACCACUGGCCUUAAACAGAGGCAAUGGAACAUGUCAGGGCCAAUAAGCCACCGCAAACAAACGGCGGAAAAGAAAGCGCUAGUUGUUUUGUUUGCUUUGACCACUGACUUACUUACAAUCAAACAAACAGCUUUUGAAAGUCAA